rnacentral:rRNA from 1 species
AUUGAACGCUGGCGGCAUGCCUAACACAUGCAAGUCGAACGAGAGGCGGACGGGUGAGUAAUAUAUCGGAACGUGCCUAGUGGCGGGGGAUAAGUACUGGAAACAGGGCUAAUACCGCACACUAUUGGAUCGGCCGGGUUUGGAUUAGCUAGUUGGUGGGGUAAAGGCUCACCAAGGCGACGAUCCGUAGCUGGUCUGAGAGGAUGAGCAGCCACACUGGGACUGAGACACGGCCCAGACUCCUACGGGAGGCAGCAGUGGGGAAUAUUGGACAAUGGGCGAAAGCCUGAUCCAGCCAUGCCGCGUGUAUGAAGAAGGCCUUCGGGUUGUAAAGCACUUUUGGCAGAGAAGCGUUACCUGCAGAAUAAGCACCGGCUAACUACGUGCCAGCAGCCGCGGUAAUAC